CCAAAAAGUAAAUAUCAUUCAACUCUAUCAUAAACACAUUUUAUUAUUAAAAUUAUGAAAGUUCUUAAACACAUUUUAUUAUUAAAGUAAAUAUCAUUCAACUCUAUCAUACAACAUGUAAUCGAAUAUUUUUUAAUCAAUGAAUGAAUAUUUUCUGCUAUUUUUUUUCAUGUAUGAAGUAUAUAUGUACAUGUUUUUUGCUUACUUGAGCCUGAAUUAUAAACGGCAAUUAAUUAGUAGGUAAAUGACAGAGAUUUAUUAAUUAAUAUAAUGUUGUAGGAAUUAAGACGAAGAGGAGCAGUGAAUCAACAUUAAUCUUGCUCUAGCUAGUUGCCAGUUUUUAUUAGUCGUCAAUUUGUCUAAUUGACGUGACUAUCAAGUUGCUCAUUUUCUUUUAAACUUACAAAUUCUUUGAACAAAUCUUAAUUAUGAUUAAAUGUCUA
rnacentral:lncRNA from 1 species